rnacentral:rRNA from 1 species
GGAUCUUCGGGCCUUGCGCUAUCAGAUGAGCCUAGGUCGGAUUAGCUAGUUGGUGAGGUAAUGGCUCACCAAGGCUACGAUCCGUAACUGGUCUGAGAGGAUGAUCAGUCACACUGGAACUGAGACACGGUCCAGACUCCUACGGGAGGCAGCAGUGGGGAAUAUUGGACAAUGGGCGAAAGCCUGAUCCAGCCAUGCCGCGUGUGUGAAGAAGGUCUUCGGAUUGUAAAGCACUUUAAGUUGAGGAAGGGCAGUAAGCGAAUACCUUGCUGUUUGACGUUACCGACAGAAUAAGCACCGGCUAACUCUGUGCCAGCAGCCGCGGUAAUACAGAGGGUGCAAGCGUUAAUCGGAAUUACUGGGCGUAAAGCGCGCGUAGGU